ACGCUGGCGGCAGGCCUACACAUGCAAGUCGAGCGGUAGAGAGAAGCUUGCUUCUCUUGAGAGCGGCGGACGGGUGAGUAAUGCCUAGGAAUCUGCCUAGUGGUGGGGGAUAACGUUCGGAAACGGACGCUAAUACCGCAUACGUCCUACGGGAGAAAGCGGGGGACCUUCGGGCCUCGCGCCAUUAGAUGAGCCUAGGUCGGAUUAGCUAGUUGGUGAGGUAAUGGCUCACCAAGGCGACGAUCCGUAACUGGUCUGAGAGGAUGAUCAGUCACACUGGAACUGAGACACGGUCCAGACUCCUACGGGAGGCAGCAGUGGGGAAUAUUGGACAAUGGGCGAAAGCCUGAUCCAGCCAUGCCGCGUGUGUGAAGAAGGUCUUCGGAUUGUAAAGCACUUUAAGUUGGGAGGAAGGGUAGUAACUUAAUACGUUGCUACUUUGACGUUACCGACAGAAUAAGCACCGGCUAACUUCGUGCCAGCAGCCGCGGUAAUACGAAGGGUGCAAGCGUUAAUCGGAAUUACUGGGCGUAAAGCGCGCGUAGGUGGUUCAGUAAGUUGGAAGUGAAAUCCCCGGGCUCAACCUGGGAACUGCUUUCAAAACUGCUGAGCUAGAGUACGGUAGAGGGUGGUGGAAUUUCCUGUGUAGCGGUGAAAUGCGUAGAUUUAGGAAGGAACACCGUGGCGAAGGCGACCACCUGGACUGAUACUGACACUGAGGUGCGAAAGCGUGGGGAGCAAACAGGGAUUAGAUACCCUGGUAGUCCACGCC
rnacentral:rRNA from 1 species